rnacentral:rRNA from 1 species
GACGAACGCUGGCGGCGUGCUUAACACAUGCAAGUCGAACGGUGAAGCGCCUUCCUUUUUGGUUGGUGUGGAUGAGUGGCGAACGGGUGAGUAACACGUGAGUAACCUGCCUUCUUCUUCUGGAUAACCGCAUGAAAGUGUGGCUAAUACGGGAUACUCCGGGUCUGUCGCAUGAUGGGUCCGGGAAAGAUAUUGUUUCGGUGGGGGCUGGGCUCGCGGCCUAUCAGCUUGUUGGUGGGGUGAUGGCCUACCAAGGCGGUGACGGGUAGCCGGCCUGAGAGGGUCGGCGGUCACACAGGGGCUGAGACACGGAGCAGACUCCUACGGGAGGCAGCGGUGAAGAAUAUAGAACGGUGGGAGCAAGCCUGAAGCAGCGACGCCGCGUGGGAGAUGGAGGCCUUCGGGUUGUGAACCUCUUUCGCCAGUGAAGCAGGCCUGCCUCGUUUGUGGGUGUGUUGACGGUAGCUAGAGAAGAAGCGCCGGCUAACUACGUG